UACAGAGGUCCCAAGCGUUGUUCGGAUUCAUUGGGCGUAAAGGGUGCGUAGGCGGCGCGGUAAGUCGGGUGUGAAAUCUCGGGGCUUAACUCCGAAACUGCAUUCGAUACUGCCGUGCUUGAGGACUGGAGAGGAGACUGGAAUUCCUGGUGUAGCGGUGAAAUGCGCAGAUAUCAGGAGGAACACCGGUGGCGAAGGCGGCCCCCUGGACCGGAACUGACGCUGAGGCGCGAAAGCGUGGGUAGCAAACGGG
rnacentral:rRNA from 1 species